AUUGAACGCUGGCGGCAGGCCUAACACAUGCAAGUCGAGCGGAUGAAGGGAGCUUGCUCCUGGAUUCAGCGGCGGACGGGUGAGUAAUGCCUAGGAAUCUGCCUGGUAGUGGGGGAUAACGUCCGGAAACGGGCGCUAAUACCGCAUACGUUCUGAGGGAGAAAGUGGGGGAUCUUCGGACCUCACGCUAUCAGAUGAGCCUAGGUCGGAUUAGCUAGUUGGUGGGGUAAAGGCCUACCAAGGCGACGAUCCGUAACUGGUCUGAGAGGAUGAUCAGUCACACUGGAACUGAGACACGGUCCAGACUCCUACGGGAGGCAGCAGUGGGGAAUAUUGGGCAAUGGGCGAAAGCCUGAUCCAGCCAUGCCGCGUGUGUGAAGAAGGUCUUCGGAUUGUAAAGCACUUUAAGUUGGGAGGAAGGGCAGUAAGUUAAUACCUUGCUGUUUUGACGUUACCAACAGAAUAAGCACCGGCUAACUUCGUG
rnacentral:rRNA from 1 species